ACAGGAUUCCCCUAGUAACGGCGAGUGAAGCGGGAAGAGCUCAAAUUUGUAAUCUGGCACUUUCAGUGUCCGAGUUGUAAUCUCGAGAAGUGUUUUCCGCGCUGGACCGCAUACAAGUCUGUUGGAAUACAGCGUCAUAGUGGUGAGAACCCCGUAACUGAUGCGGAUGCCCAGUGCUUUGUGAUACACUUUCGAAGAGUCGAGUUGUUUGGGAAUGCAGCUCAAAUUGGGUGGUAAAUUCCAUCUAAAGCUAAAUAUUGGCGAGAGACCGAUAGCGAACAAGUACCGUGAGGGAAAGAUGAAAAGCACUUUGGAAAGAGAGUUAACAGUACGUGAAAUUGUUGGAAGGGAAACGCUUGAAGUCAGACUUGCUAUUUGGAUUUAUUCAAUUCGCAGGCCAGCAUCAGUUUUCGGGGGUGGAAAAGGGUUUGGAGAAGGUAGCAACUCCGGUUGUGUUAUAGCUCCUUGCUGGAUUCAUCUUUGGGGACUGAGGAACGCAGCACGCUUUUUGCAAGGCUUUCGAGCUUUUCGUGCUUAGGAUGCUGGUGGAAUGGCUUUAAACGACCCGU
rnacentral:rRNA from 1 species